GACGAACGCUGGCGGCGUGCUUAACACAUGCAAGUCGAACGGAAAGGCCCUGCUUUUGUGGGGUGCUCGAGUGGCGAACGGGUGAGUAACACGUGAGUAACCUGCCCUUGACUUUGGGAUAACUUCAGGAAACUGGGGCUAAUACCGGAUAGGAGCUCCUGCUGCAUGGUGGGGGUUGGAAAGUCUCGGCGGUUGGGGCUGGACUCGCGGCUUAUCAGCUUGUUGGUGGGGUAGUGGCUUACCAAGGCUUUGACGGGUAGCCGGCCUGAGAGGGUGGCCGGCCACAUUGGGACUGAGAUACGGCCCAGACUCCUACGGGAGGCAGCAGUGGGGAAUAUUGCACAAUGGGCGGAAGCCUGAUGCAGCAACGCCGCGUGCGGGAUGACGGCCUUCGGGUUGUAAACCGCUUUCGCCUGUGACGAAGCGUGAGUGACGGUAAUGGGUAAAGAAGCACCGGCUAACUACGUG
rnacentral:rRNA from 1 species